rnacentral:rRNA from 1 species
GAUACAGGGUGACAGCCCCGUACACAAAAGCGCAUGUGCUGUGAGCUCGAUGAGUAGGGCGGGACACGUGGUAUCCUGUCUGAAUAUGGGGGGACCAUCCUCCAAGGCUAAAUACUCCUGACUGACCGAUAGUGAACCAGUACCGUGAGGGAAAGGCGAAAAGAACCCCGGCGAGGGGAGUGAAAAAGAACCUGAAACCGUGUACGUACAAGCAGUGGGAGCACASSUUUACSKGUGUGACUGCGUACCUUUUGUAUAAUGGGUCAGCGACUUAUAUUCUGUAGCAAGGUUAACCGAAUAGGGGAGCCGGAGGGAAACCGAGUCUUAAYYGGGCGUUAAGUUGCAGGGUAUAGACCCGAAACCCGGUGAUCUAGCCAUGGGCAGGUUGAAGGUUGGGUAACACUAACUGGAGGACCGAACCGACUAAUGUUGAAAAAUUAGCGGAUGACCUGUGGCUGGGGGUGAAAGGCCAAUCAAACCGGGAGAUAGCUGGUUCUCCCCGAAAGCUAUUUAGGUAGCGCCUCGUGAAUUCAUCUCCGGGGGUAGAGCACUGUUUCGGCUAGGGGGCCAUCCCGGCUUACCAACCCGAUGCAAACUGCGAAUACCGGAGAAUGUUAUCACGGGAGACACACGGCGGGUGCUAACGUCCGUCGUGAAGAGGGAAACAACCCAGACCGCCAGCUAAGGUCCCAAAGUCAUGGUUAAGUGGGAAACGAUGUGGGAAGGCCCAGACAGCCAGGAUGUUGGCUUAGAAGCAGCCAUCAUUUAAAGAAAGCGUAAUAGCUCACUGGUCGAGUCGGCCUGCGCGGAAGAUGUAACGGGGCUAAACCAUGCACCGAAGCUGCGGCAGCGAC